AGCGAACGCUGGCGGCGUGCCUAAUACAUGCAAGUCGAGCGGACCAAAGAGAGCUUGCUCUCUGAGGUUAGCGGCGGACGGGUGAGUAACACGUGGGUAACCUGCCUGUAAGACGGGGAUAACUUCGGGAAACCGAAGCUAAUACCGGAUGAUAAAGAGAAACGCCUGUUUCUCUUUUGAAAGUCGGCCUUGUGCUGACGCUUACAGAUGGGCCCGCGGCGCAUUAGCUAGUUGGUGAGGUAACGGCUCACCAAGGCGACGAUGCGUAGCCGACCUGAGAGGGUGAUCGGCCACACUGGGACUGAGACACGGCCCAGACUCCUACGGGAGGCAGCAGUAGGGAAUCUUCGGCAAUGGACGAAAGUCUGACCGAGCAACGCCGCGUGAGCGAUGAAGGCCUUCGGGUCGUAAAGCUCUGUUGUCAGAGAAGAACAAGUACCGGAGUAACUGCCGGUACCUUGACGGUACCUGACCAGAAAGCCACGGCUAACUACGUGCCAGCCGCCGCCGUAAUAC
rnacentral:rRNA from 1 species